UACGGGGGGGGCAAGCGUUGUUCGGAAUUACUGGGCGUAAAGGGCUCGUAGGUGGCCAACUAAGUCGGACGUGAAAUCCCUCGGCUUAACCGGGGAACUGCGUCCGAUACUGGUUGGCUUGAGUUUGGGAGAGGGAUGCGGAAUUCCAGGUGUAGCGGUGAAAUGCGUAGAUAUCAGGAGGAACACCGGUGGCGAAGGCGGUUCGCUGGGCCACACCUGACGCUGAGACGCGAAAGCUAGGGGAGCGAACAGG
rnacentral:rRNA from 1 species